rnacentral:rRNA from 1 species
AUGUACAUGCAUACAACAUAGAAUUAAUGCACCAUAUCCCAUUAGAACUCCGUAGUUAAGCGCUUUUAGGUUAGAGUAGUACUGGGAUGGGUGACCGCCAUGGGGAAUUUUAUAAACUUAGUCCAAU